rnacentral:rRNA from 1 species
UACAGAGGGGGCUAGCGUUGUUCGGAAUUACUGGGCGUAAAGGGCGCGUAGGCGGCCCGCUAAGUCGGACGUGAAAUCCCCAGGCUCAACCUGGGAACUGCGUCCGAUACUGGAUGGCUUGAAUCCGGGAGAGGGAUGCAGAAUUCCAGGUGUAGCGGUGAAAUGCGUAGAUAUCUGGAGGAAUACCGGUGGCGAAGGCGGCAUCCUGGACCGGCAUUGACGCUGAGGAGCGAAAGCCAGGGGAGCAAACGGG